rnacentral:piRNA from 4 species
UUUGGUGUAUGUGCUUGGCUGAGG